rnacentral:rRNA from 1 species
GAUGAACGCUAGCUACAGGCUUAACACAUGCAAGUCGCGGGGCAGCAUGAAUUUAGCUUGCUAAAUUUGAUGGCGACCGGCGCACGGGUGAGUAACGCGUAUCCAACCUUCCCCUGUCCACGGGAUAGCCCGUCGAAGGGCGGAUUAAUACCGUAUGAGGUCACAUGCGGGCAUCUAAUUGUGACGAAAGGUUUGGCGGACAGGGAUGGGGAUGCGUCCGAUUAGGUAGUCGGCGGGGUAACGGCCCACCGAGCCGACGAUCGGUAGGGGUUCUGAGAGGAAGGUCCCCCCACAUUGGAACUGAGACACGGUCCAAACUCCUACGGGAGGCAGCAGUGAGGAAUAUUGGUCAAUGGACGUAAGUCUGAACCAGCCAAGUAGCGUGCAGGAUGACGGCCCUAUGGGUUGUAAACUGCUUUUAUGCGGGGAUAAAGUGAGGGACGCGUCCCUUUUUGCAGGUACCGCAUGAAUAAGGACCGGCUAAAUUCCGUG